GAUUCGUCACACUAUCAUUAACUGAAUCCAUAGGUUAAUGAGGCGAACCGGGGGAACUGAAACAUCUAAGUACCCCGAGGAAAAGAAAUCAACCGAGAUUCCCCCAGUAGCGGCGAGCGAACGGGGAGGAGCCCAGAGCCUGAAUCAGCAUGUGUGUUAGUGGAAGCGUCUGGAAAGGCGCGCGAUACAGGGUGACAGCCCCGUACACAAAAGCGCAUGUGCUGUGAGCUCGAUGAGUAGGGCGGGACACGUGGUAUCCUGUCUGAAUAUGGGGGGACCAUCCUCCAAGGCUAAAUACUCCUGACUGACCGAUAGUGAACCAGUACCGUGAGGGAAAGGCGAAAAGAACCCCGGCGAGGGGAGUGAAAAAGAACCUGAAACCGUGUACGUACAAGCAGUGGGAGCCCCAC
rnacentral:rRNA from 1 species